rnacentral:rRNA from 1 species
GACGAACGUUGGCGGCGUGCUUAACACAUGCAAGUCGAACGGAAAGGCCCUGCUUUUGUGGGGUGCUCGAGUGGCGAACGGGUGAGUAACACGUGAGUAACCUGCCCUUGACUUUGGGAUAACUUCAGGAAACUGGGGCUAAUACCGGAUAGGAUCUCCUGCUGCAUGGUGGGGGUUGGUAAGUUUCGGCGGUUGGGGAUGGACUCGCGGCUUAUCAGCUUGUUGGUGGGGUAGUGGCUUACCAAGGCUUUGACGGGUAGCCGGCCUGAGAGGGUGACCGGCCACAUUGGGACUGAGAUACGGCCCAGACUACUACGGGAGGCAGCAGUGGGGAAUAUUGCACAAUGGGCGGAAGCCUGAUGCAGCAACGCCGCGUGCGGGAUGACGGCCUUCGGGUUGUAAACCGCUUUCGCCUGUGACGAAGCGUGAGUGACGGUAAUGGGUAAAGAAGCACCGGCUAACUACGUG